UCAAUUUUUUUUGGACGAAAAAAUUCUUCGUAAAAAGAUUUAUAAGUUUUAGCGGCGAUUAAGAGUUCCCCUCUGCCGGCGAAUUUCAACGGAAAAUAUAACACUUUUUCCAGCGAUUGCAGUUGCGCCGCAAAAUCUCUGUUUGACAUUUUUUUCGGCGACCAAGUUUUUGCCGCAAAAUCUCAGCGGACACAUAUGCCGGCGAUUAUUUUUCGCCGGUAAAAACAGACCCCCCCUCCCGUUUUUAUUUUCGUUUCACCGUGAAUCAAACUUCACAUUUGAAGUGUUUUUUUUUUCCCCCUUUCCGCCUUUUUGCUUUCCUUCUCCCUUGACCAAUCGUUCCAUGCCCAAGGCCGAUCCGUUCCAAAGACUCUUCCACACCGUCGGCCUCCUUCCUCCACCGUCAGGCCAGCUUCUCCUCACAAGACGUCCUCCGCAGAAAGCUCAUCGGCGACAAGGUCGGCCAGUGAUACGUAAGCCUACGGAAUCAAGAACGACAACCUCUCUUCCUCUCUUCAAGGUCGGACCGUGAAGAAUUAUAAGACGUUGGCCAUUGAAAAACAUGUCAAGAACUGGCUCCAAGACUAAUUUCUGCUUUAGAUUUUUUUUUUUAAAUUUUAUGCGAUAUGUAGUACCUUGUGGCUAUGUAUGACUAAUGACAAUAUCAAGGAUUUUCUUUCUUAUAUACUAUGUUGACAAAUGUGAUACAUCGAGGAUUUAUAUUAGUGUAAUAUGAUUUUAAAUUUUAUA